CGGGGUUCAAAGGCAUCUUUUAUCUUGGCUUAGAAAUGGAGGAGGGCAGCUCAGAGGAUCUAGAGUGUGUCCUGCUUGCCUGCGGCAACAUGAGAGACAAAAACCCAGAGGAUGCCGGGAGUGGGAUGCGAGGACCGCCAGAGGGUAAACACGAUGCGUUAUAAAGGGCUAAGAAGCUAUACUUCCUGUUUAUAAGCCUUUCCGAUGCCAGGUUAAGAUGAAUGAUCUCAUCUGUUCGGCACGGGGUCAAGCUCCGAAAGGGACCUUUACAGUCAACAAGCUUUAGAAAUGCAGGUUAGGCGCAGACUGCACACUGAGCUCUGGCCUAACUCAGCCCAGCAGAGGAAAGCUAUAGAAAACGCAGGGUGAAGUGGGCUACUCCAUCCUCAGACUCGUUCAAGGGUGGAGGCUCUGGCUUUCUGGAGACUCUCUGGCCCCACCAGAAGGAACGUGGAGCUUCAAACCCUGUGGCCUUCUCCAUCUCUGUUCUCCUCUUCCAUCACGGUGACAUAAGAAUCAUUGCUUUUCUCAGGGUCCCUGCCCUGAGGGGCUCUGUGUGGGCCCAGCUCGGUCUGGCCAAAGGCUGUUUGCAAUGUGUCCCCCAACAGCCUCUGCAGAAUGCCAUGUCCGUGCCAAGUACCUGUCUUGACCAGGGCUGCUUAGUGAUGCAAACCUCUGUCCCAUUUCACCCAAAACCUCAUGUCAGGACAAUGGACUCUGGGCACUGGGGCCGGGAGUUAUGCCCUCAUUUUGCAGCACAUACUCAC
rnacentral:lncRNA from 1 species